UAAGCACAAGUAAACUACCUCUUGUUUCAAGGAACACACUUCUCUUUUACAUUGACACUACAUACAAAGGUAAUUAACUGAAAGAGAUGAAAACAACAAAGAAGUAGACUUCAAUAUGACUAUUAUACAUGAAUUACAAAUAACAAUCAGUUAAUUAAAACAAACAACACUGGUAAGAACAACCAUUAACGAGUGUUUCAUGGAGGAGUGUGAGAGAGAGAGAGAGAGAGAGAGAGAGAGAGGGAGGAAAGCAGCCUAACUCUCACUCUCUUCAUAUUAUUUAAUACACCAGCAGCAUUGAGGCUCAACACACCUCCAGCACCUCCAGCAGGCUUCUUACAACAAAUACUUGGCCCUCAGAGACGACACACUUAAGGAUAACAGGAAAAGGAGAAGACAUACCAGACACUUGAGAAUUAGAACUGCCCACGCCACUCACAGGGAACCAUUCGCACGCCGUCCGUGGAUGGGUGAGGACGGUGGCUUCCUAAUCGCCGCCAGUGUUAUAGUAAAGUUUUCGUACUGUGAAAAGCAGUGACGUGACAAGUGAACAAGGCUGAGGGAGUGGAAUGGACGCCGGGCAACUCUUCAGCCAGGUUAAUUGGCGCGGAAGGUGACCUGCGAGCUGAUAAGGUUAGUACACAUUUUUUCGACAUGAAAGGUGCGGGACAGAAAAUAAACUGAAUCAAAUUAUCACGGUUCAUUACGCGUGAUGUUUUACGUUGCUGGUCAAGAACACUGAAAAGCCCCAGAUAACGGAAUGAGUGGCUCUUUGUUGUGCUGGAAAAAAUAUAAGGAGCUUAAAGAAGAAAAAUGUGCGUCUUGGUCUUGUGCAAGUGAAGAAAACGGUUACCAAGCUCAUGAACAACAACGGGGAGCUUAAGAAAGACUGGAUUAGUGAAAUUUUAGUGAAGAAAAGGAGUGGCGAUACGAAUAAAGAGUUUCACUACGGUGUUAAUGAAGAAAAUGAGUGUCGAAGCAGUCUCGAUGAUGAAAAUGUAUCGGCUUAUAAGAAAACCGUUGUUCGUUUCGUAUUUAUAUUUGUAUCCGCCUCUGCAGAACCCGGCGGGUAGGAGCAGGCGUCACGUGGGGUUGUGCUGCAAGUAUGACGUCCACGUGCACAUCUACAUCCUGGUCAAGAGAAGGUUAGAUGGAAAGACUCCGGGUAUAUUUGGAUGAUCAGAGCUUAGUUACAGUUCUCUUAAAUGUAAAUAUCCGAAGACGAUAGGAAUUACCACUGUUCAUGAGAUAAAGAGGGAUAAAUUAAAAGGAACUUGGAAGGAUAUGAAUCAAUGCAGUAUUAAGGAAAAGAAGUGACGAUGCUGCGCUGCUUCUAUGCUUACUGAACUAAUGAAGGUGAUUCUACGACCACCACUAUCGUCACUAAAACCACUACCAUGAACUCGAUCACCGCCGCCAUCACUCAAGUGCAGCAGCUCUUGUUAUGUAAGUGCCUUGUCUUUGUCAUAUCAUCA